rfam:Schistosoma rodhaini strain Burundi genome assembly, scaffold: SROB_scaffold0000870
AUCCAGCUGGUGAGUCCCAAAUAGGACGAAACGCGCGUCCUGGAU